rnacentral:rRNA from 1 species
GACGAACGCUGGCGGCGUGCUUAACACAUGCAAGUCGAACGGAAAGGCCCUGCUUUUGUGGGGUGCUCGAGUGGCGAACGGGUGAGUAACACGUGAGUAACCUGCCCUUGACUUUGGGAUAACUUCAGGAAACUGGGGCUAAUACCGGAUAGGAGCUCCUGCUGCAUGGUGGGGGUCCGAAAGUUUCGGCGGUUGGGGAUGGACUCGCGGCUUAUCAGCUUGUUGGUGGGGUAGUGGCUUACCAAGGCUUUGACGGGUAGCCGGCCUGAGAGGGUGACCGGCCACAUUGGGACUGAGAUACGGCCCAGACUCCUACGGGAGGCAGCAGUGGGGAAUAUUGCACAAUGGGCGGAAGCCUGAUGCAGCAACGCCGCGUGCGGGAUGACGGCCUUCGGGUUGUAAACCGCUUUCGCCUGUGACGAAGCGUGAGUGACGGUAAUGGGUAAAGAAGCACCGGCUAACUACGUG